UACAGAGGGGGCAAGCGUUAUUCGGAAUUACUGGGCGUAAAGAGCGCGCAGGCGGUCGUUCAAGUCGAGUGUGAAAGCCCCCGGCUCAACUGGGGAGGGUCAUUCGAUACUGAUCGACUCGAAGGCAGGAGAGGGAAGUGGAAUUCCCGGUGUAGUGGUGAAAUGCGUAGAUAUCGGGAGGAACACCAGUGGCGAAGGCGACUUCCUGGCCUGUUCUUGACGCUGAGGCGCGAAAGCUAGGGGAGCAAACGGG
rnacentral:rRNA from 1 species